UACGUAGGGUGCAAGCGUUAAUCGGAAUUACUGGGCGUAAAGCGUGCGCAGGCGGUUUUGUAAGUCAGAUGUGAAAUCCCCGGGCUUAACCUGGGAACUGCGUUUGAAACUACAAGGCUAGAGUGUGGCAGAGGGGGGUGGAAUUCCACGUGUAGCAGUGAAAUGCGUAGAGAUGUGGAGGAACACCGAUGGCGAAGGCAGCCCCCUGGGUUAACACUGACGCUCAGGCACGAAAGCUAGGGGAGCGAACGGG
rnacentral:rRNA from 1 species